CAGUCGCCACGGUAACACGUAGGGUGCAAGCGUUAAUCGGAAUUACUGGGCGUAAAGCGUGCGCAGGCGGUUUGUUAAGACAGAUGUGAAAUCCCCGGGCUUAACCUGGGAACUGCAUUUGUGACUGGCAAGCUAGAGUAUGGCAGAGGGGGGUGGAAUUCCGCGUGUAGCAGUGAAAUGCGUAGAUAUGCGGAGGAACACCGAUGGCGAAGGCAGCCCCCUGGGCCAAUACUGACGCUCAUGCACGAAAGCGUGGGGAGCAAACAGGAUUAGAUACCCCGGUAGUCCCUGUCUCUUAUAC
rnacentral:rRNA from 1 species